rnacentral:tRNA from 1 species
UGGGGAGUGGUGUAAUGGUAGCCCACCGGCCUUUGGAGCCGUGAGGUGCUGGUUCGAAUCCAGCCUCCCCAG